GUGCUCAGUUCAGCAGUGCAUACACUAAAAUGGAAACAAUACAGAGAUUAGCUAGCACAGCCCCUGCCCAGAGAUGACAUGAAAAUUUGGGAAGUGUUCCAUGUUUUU
ensembl:snRNA U6 U6 spliceosomal RNA